rfam:Brachypodium distachyon strain Bd21 chromosome 5, whole genome shotgun sequence.
CUACUACUCCCUCUGUCCGGUAUUAAGUGUUGCAACUUAAUCUAGAUACACAUGUAUCUAGACGCGUUUUAGUAUGUAGAUACAUGCGUAUUUAGACAAAGUUGCGACACUUAAUACCGAACGGAGGGAGUACAAU